rnacentral:tRNA from 1 species
GCAGUGGUUCAGUGGUAGGAUUCUUGCCUUCUAUGCGUGUGACUUGGGUUCAAUUCCAAACCAAUGCA